UGCCUUAGUAACGGCGAGUGAAGCGGCAAAAGCUCAAAUUUGAAAUCUGACACUUUUAGUGUCCGAGUUGUAAUUUGAAGAAAGUUUCUCUGAGUAGUCCUUUAUCUAUGUUCCUUGGAACAGGACGUCAUAGAGGGUGAGAACCCCGUAUGAUUUUGGAUACUAUUCUUUGUGAGAUUCUUUCGAAGAGUCGAGUUGUUUGGGAAUGCAGCUCUAAGUGGGUGGUAAAUUCCAUCUAAAGCUAAAUAUUGGCGAGAGACCGAUAGCGAACAAGUACAGUGAUGGAAAGAUGAAAAGAACUCUGAAGAGAGAGUGAAAAAGUACGUGAAAUUGCUGAAAGGGAAGGGCUUUAGGUUAGACUUGGUGUUUAGUGAUUAUCUUCCCUUCUGGGUUGUGCACUCGCUUUUCACUGGGCCAAUAUCAGUUUUGGCGACAAAGUACCUAUUGGAAUGUAGCUUCUCUCGAGAAGUGUUAUAGCCUUUAGACGAUUUGUUUCUGGGACUGAGGACUGCGCAUUUAUGCUAGGAUAUUGGCGUAAUAACCCUAAGCCGC
rnacentral:rRNA from 1 species